CCUACGGGGGGCUGCAGUGGGGAAUAUUGGACAAUGGGGGGAACCCUGAUCCAGCCAUGCCGCGUGUGUGAAGAAGGCCCUCGGGUUGUAAAGCACUUUCAGUGAGGAAGAACGCCUGGUGGUUAAUACCCAUCAGGAAAGACAUCACUCACAGAAGAAGCACCGGCUAACUCCGUGCCAGCAGCCGCGGUAAUACGGAGGGUGCGAGCGUUAAUCGGAAUUACUGGGCGUAAAGCGCGCGUAGGUGGCUUGAUAAGCCGGUUGUGAAAGCCCCGGGCUCAACCUGGGAACGGCAUCCGGAACUGUCAAGCUAGAGUGUAGGAGAGGAAGGUAGAAUUCCCGGUGUAGCGGUGAAAGUCGUAGAGAUCGGGAGGAAGACCAGUGGCGAAGGCGGCCUUCUGGACUGACACUGACACUGAGGUGCGAAAGCGUGGGUAGCAAACAGGAUUAGAUACCCUAGUAGUC
rnacentral:rRNA from 1 species